UACAGAGGUCUCAAGCGUUGUUCGGAUUCAUUGGGCGUAAAGGGUGCGUAGGUGGCGCCGUAAGUCGGGUGUGAAAUUUCGGAGCUUAACUCCGAAACUGCAUUCCAUACUGCGGUGCUUGAGGACUGGAGAGGAGACUGGAAUUCAUGGUGUAGCGGUGAAAUGCGUAGAUAUCGUAAGGAAGACCAGUGGCGAAGGCGGGUCUCUGGACAGUUCCUGACGCUGAGGCACGAAGGUCAGGGGGAGCAAACGGGG
rnacentral:rRNA from 1 species